rnacentral:sRNA from 1 species
UUGCUAUCUGCGAUAUGGAAGAUUCGAACCUGCCGCAGGUUCGGGUCGAACGCAGUGAGACAACGGAGCCGUUUACGGCGACGGCCCGAAGGGCGAGCGAAGCCGAGUCAUCCUGCACGACCCACCA